rnacentral:rRNA from 1 species
AUGAACACAUCCACUUGGGACAUGAGUUCUUCGUCAUCUUCAUCUGGCGACGAUGAACUCAUACUUGCAGCAUUCGCCGAGCGCGAGGAGGAAGAGAGGAAGAACGCUCGACGCCAUGGCGGUUCCAAGCAUGGACGUCAGUCAAUCGAUCGAGGAAGAGAUGCCGGAUUUCUUCUUCUAUGGGAUGACUACUUCAAAGAAGUUCCUCGCUUUCCCGAACAUUUGUUUCGACGAAGAUUUAGGAUGUCGCGUACUUUGUUCAACCGCAUAGCUGAUGGUAUACUUGAGCAUGACUAUGAUGAUUAUUUUACGCCAAAAAGAAGUGCUUCUGGAGCUCUUGGGUUACAUCCUUUGCAAAAGAUGACCGCGGCGAUGCGGAUACUAACAUAUGGAAUAGCAGGUGAUUAUGUUGAUGAGUACAUCCGGUCCGCUGAGUCUACUAAUUUAGAGUCUUGCAAGAAAUUUGUGAUCAAAAUUUGUGAAGUUUUUGGGGAAAAGUACCUGAGAUCUCCAAAUGAAGAAGACAUUGCUAGGUUACUUGCAAUAGGGGAGGAAAGAGGAUUUCCCGGUAUGUUAGGGAGCAUAGAUUGCAUGCACUUGGGGUGGAAAAAUUGCCCCAAAAAAUGGCAUGGCAUGUUUAAAGGCCAUGUGAGCGAGCCCACUAUG